rnacentral:rRNA from 1 species
AUUGAACGCUGGCGGCAGGCCUAACACAUGCAAGUCGAGCGGAGCGGCGGACGGGUGCGUAAUGCCUAGGAAUCUGCCUGGUAGUGGGGGAUAACGUACGGAAACGGGCGCUAAUACCGCAUACUAUCAGAUGAGCCUCGGUGGGAUUAGAUAGUUUGUGGGGUAAAGGCCUACCAAGGCGACGAGCCGGAACUGGUAUGAGAGGAUGAUCAGUCACACUGGAACUGAGACACGGCCCAGACGCCUACGGGAGGCAGCAGUGGGGAAUAUUGGACAAUGGGCGAAAGCCUGAUCCAGCAAUGCCGCGUGUGUGAAGAAGGUUUUCGGAUUGUAAAGCACUGUAAGUUGGGAGGCGUUACCAACAGAAUAAGCACCGGCUAACUUCGUGCCAGCAGCCGCGGUAAUUC